CUUGGCUUCUAAGUCUGUAGGCUAUUGCCAGAUGAGCAGGUGUGCACAGUGAGGAGGAUUCCUUAAGAUUCUCCACAGUACGCUAGUACAUAAAUAUGCAAUUGCUUGUCUAUGUGGUGCUGUUGUGGCUUUGAACGCAAACUGACUAACGCCUGUUUCAGCAGUGCACCAUGCCUUGGUGAGAAGUGGAAGCAGACCUUUAGAGAUGCAUCCUGGACACUCCUUUUGCCCCCCUUGGUGAAAGAAGGAUGGGAUGCUGCCAGGACAGCCACAGUUUCUGCAACACAAAGCUGAAAUUACAAGAUUGUUGUCGUAAGAAAGCAGAAACAGUGUAUGGCACUCUGUGCCCUGCAGUGCUGCCGUUCUUCCGUUGUUUUUACAAACAUUGCUACCUUUCUAGGCAGCCAGGGCUGCUAAUUUCUUCUCAUUACAACUAUAUGAAAAAGAAGUGAGAGAUACCUCUAGUACACCAAUAUUAAUAUGGUGAAUAAUUAAGCCAUCAAGAAAACUGUGUAUGUUUUCAAAGAAGCCAAGCACCUGCACACGGACAAUUUCUGUCUUAUAGCUGUGUUUGAGAAUAGUGAGAAUGGGGAAAAAAAGCCUUUGCUGUAUCUCCUUCAAGACAGACAGGAGUGUGUUUAUUUUCACCAAAUAUCCAUACACAUAUGACACUCUCUCAGAAAUGGACAGUUGCUGGAAGAGUAACACCUUUUUAUUCCUUAUGAUAUAUGUCCCGCACGUGCAUCUCCUGUAUGUGUGCAAAUACAGGAGGAAGGAAGUCCUGGAAGACUUGGGAGCUCUCAGUGGGAAACCAAGGCAAAGGGCACAGUUCUCAUACAAAUGGGCAAAGGUAUCUACAUUCCACAGUGCCAAGCAACCAUCAAAUCCUGAAGAGAUUCCUAAUCCUUAUUCUUGUCCUUCUUCAGGCAUCUGGGCCUCAUUGAAGUCUUGCAAAUAAUUAAGAAUAUUAGACCUCUGGUUACUGAUCAUCUUGCAGAAGUAUGUAUUUCAUCUAUCUGUCCUGGAUUUCUUUUUGCUUCUACCCCAUAUUGUGAGACAGGAUAUUACAAUAAGUUCUUCAUAUUUCUUUGUCAGUGUAACAACAUUCUCCAGGCAAAAUGUGUCACACUUUUCUCCAUCGGAUUGUUAUUUCUCUAGAGCCAUAAAAGUUGGCAUACCAUAAGUGCCAGUGGUGCUUAAAAGCCUGUCUUGAUGGGG
ensembl:lncRNA